rnacentral:rRNA from 1 species
GACGAACGCUGGCGGCGUGCUUAACACAUGCAAGUCGAACGAUGAAGCGGUGCUUGCACCGUGGAUUAGUGGCGAACGGGUGAGUAAUACGUGAGUGACCUACCUUUGACUCUGGGAUAAGCCUGGGAAACUGGGUCUAAUACCGGAUACGACCAAUCUCUGCAUGGGGUGUUGGUGGAAAGCGUUAUGGAGUGGUUUUAGAUGGGCUCACGGCCUAUCAGCUUGUUGGUGAGGUAAUGGCUUACCAAGGCGACGACGGGUAGCCGGCCUGAGAGGGUGACCGGCCACAUUGGGACUGAGACACGGCCCAGACUCCUACGGGAGGCAGCAGUGGGGAAUAUUGCACAAUGGGCGCAAGCCUGAUGCAGCGACGCCGCGUGAGGGAUGACGGCCUUCGGGUUGUAAACCUCUGUUAGCAUCGAAGAAGCGAAAGUGACGGUAGGUGCAGAGAAAGCGCCGGCUAACUACGUG